GCAGACCACAUGCUCAAUCUGAAAAGCAACCAGCGAGCGGCUUCCCACCCCAUACAGUCCCCCGCUGGGCCAAGCUGUGGUUGAAGUGGCUAUCACCAAAUAGCAGGAGUUGCCUCGGCUGGGGAGUGCUAAAUGGAUCCCGCUGACUCACCGCUGAUUCCUGCAGGGGGAUGUUGAGGUGGCGGAUCUGGCUCCCCAGGGACACCGUCUCCGAUGUGGGAACAACAGCCUGGAAGUGGAAGGGAAGGGUCUGAGCUGAGCUCUUCAUUCUGCUUCUGAAUGCUAAUAAUGCUGUAAUAUGCUUAAGCUGAAGGAAGGGUAUUGGCAGAAGCAGAAAAAGAACGCUUUGCGUUUUGCGUAAGAUACAUAUAGGUCAUUGGAGAGAGCAGGUAGACAAGGAAGACUUGAUCAGAACAGAAGAGGCCUUUUCUGUAGAGAGUCUAAUCAGAAAUAUUUGUGUUCAUAAGCUCAAGUUGAAAGAGGUGUUUCCUCAGACACUUCAUGGACAUUUUCCGAAGCCAGCAAACUAGGUGCUAAGCUGUAAGAAUAACAUCUUCAAAGAGAUCGUGCAGCUUUUGAAAGCUAAAUUUCUGCAUUUAUAAGGUCAGGAUAUGUUUGCAGUCUGUGUGGCUACACGUGGACUUGGGGAAAAAAGAAACAACAGCACAUGGAGUUACCUAAGAAAAUCCAGGAAAAACAUUAAAAAUAUUAAAUCCAUCUUUUUAUAACUUCCAGCCAUAUUAAACAUCAGAUCAACAAUCUCACAUUUUUAAUUGCUCAAAUAAAUGUUUUAAACUCUUUGUGCAAGUUCAUAAAAUGUAUUGACUUUCAGAAAAUAUAUAUUUUUAAUGGCAGCUAAGAGCCUGUGGGAAAAGAACACUAGGAACAGCCCUGCACCUGUAGUCCAGCCAAGAAAGACAUUAAUUCUUUUUGGAGGACGGUAUCUUUUGGAAUAUACAAGAGGCUGCAUGUAUUGCAUCACAUCAUUUUGUGGAAAUGAGGAACAGUUAAUGCAAUUAAAGGCACAUCACUGUUCUCCUGCUAUCAAUAUGAGCCCUGUGCUGAGCAUCAGAGGAAUUCUGGGAAGGCUGGCUUUUGCGGUAGGGUAAAUCCAAGGAAAACCCCCUGAGUUUAAUCUUAAGUAUUUGUUUCUUCACUUACUUACAGAUCAAUCCCAUAGCAGAUAAAUUGAACAUGAAUACUCUGUCUCCCCAAAAUCAGCACAUAGAAUCAUAGAAUCAUAGAAUUGCUCAGGUUGGAAAAGGCCUUAAAGAUCAUCGAGUCCAACCAUGACCUGACCAUACUACCCAAACUCUAACAGCCCUCCACUAAAUCAUGCCCCUGAGCACCACAUCCAAACAGUUUUUAAACACAUCCAUGAAUGGUGACUCAACCACCUCCAUGGGGAGCCUAUUCCAGUGCCUAACAACCCUUUCUGUAAAGAAGUGUUUCCUAAUAUCCAAGCUAAACUUGCCAUGGCAUGUGGGUCCUUGUGAUUCCCAGAAGGCUGUACUUUCCAACUAAUUGUCCCCAGAUAUCAAAAAAUAAAAGUAAAAUCUUUCUUGACCAUC
rnacentral:lncRNA from 1 species